rnacentral:rRNA from 1 species
CAGCCGCCGAAGGUGGGGCAAGUGAUUGGGGUGAAGUCGUAACAAGGUAGCCGUACCGGAAGGUGCGGCUGGAUCACCUCCUUUCUAAGGA